ACUCAAAUGAAUAGACGGGGGCCCGCACAAGCGGUGGAGCAUGUGGUUUAAUUCGAUGCAACGCGAAGAACCUUACCUACCCUUGACAUCCUCCGAAUCUGACUGAGAGGUUGGAGUGCCGAAAGGAGCGGAGAGACAGGUGCUGCAUGGCUGUCGUCAGCUCGUGUCGUGAGAUGUUGGGUUAAGUCCCGUAACGAGCGCAACCCUUGUCCUUAGUUGCCAGCAUGUAAGAGAUGGGCACUCUAAGGAGACUGCCGGUGAUAAACCGGAGGAAGGUGGGGAUGAGGUCAAGUCAUCAUGGCCUUUAUGGGUAGGGCUACACACGUGCUACAAUGGUCGUUACAGAGAGAAGCAAACCCGCGAGGGGAAGCGAAUCUUGCAAAAGCGAUCGUAGUCCGGAUUGGAGUCUGCAACUCGACUCCAUGAAGUUGGAAUCGCUAGUAAUCGCGGAUCAGAACGCCGCGGUGAAUACGUUCCCGGGCCUUGCACACACCGCCCGU
rnacentral:rRNA from 1 species